UACAGAGGUCUCAAGCGUUGUUCGGAUUCAUUGGGCGUAAAGGGUGCGUAGGCGGCGCGGUAAGUCGGGUGUGAAAUCUUGGAGCUUAACUCCGAAACUGCAUUCGAUACUGCCGUGCUUGAGGACUGGAGAGGAGACUGGAAUUUACGGUGUAGCGGUGAAAUGCGUAGAUAUCGUAAGGAAGACCAGUGGCGAAGGCGGGUCUCUGGGCCGAUACUGACGCUGAGGAGCGAAAGCGUGGGGAGCGAACAGG
rnacentral:rRNA from 1 species